UUCAGAAGGAAUGGUACCAGCUCCUCUUUGUACCUCUGGUGCAAUUCUUGCAGCCCUAUUUUACAGCUCACAGAAAUUAAUUAAUUGAACAGUGCUUCUGAUCUGGAAAGUGAUGGACUCAGGCUUAUAGCAUAGGCAGCCUGACUCCACAGCUCAACUAUUAAACACUACUCUCAUCACCCCACAGGGCCUGAAUUUUCUGCUCCUGAAUUCAAACAUUAAAAUGUGUGGUAUAUCAGUACUGGGAUUUAUGAGGACAAUGUGGUUAAUUUAAAUGCCUUUUGGAGCAAAUAGGACGUAUCUUAUUCCAAUUUUUUGAAGAUAGAGAAAGUGCGUGGUCCUGAACACAACAGAGGUGGUUACAAGAAGAAAUAAAAUGUUGGCUGGCAGAAGCAGCAGGGAAGAUUUCAUAUUGAAGACUAACUAGUUCUGAGACGUUUUGGAUGUCUUCUUGCAAACAAAAUAGAAUGCAACUGAAGAAAUGGCUGGUGCAAUUCAGCAAGCUUUCUGUUUUUCUCAUGCAUGAGAAAAAUGCAUUUCAGCUGAAAACAGUAUUAUGAAGGAGAAGUACUUCAAAAUAAAACACUUUACUCAACCCAAAAGACUCACUAUAAGUUCUCAAACAGUAGCUGCCACUUCUAGCUGGGAGAGAAAUGAGAGCUCUGCUCAUGGUGAUCCAGUAUCUCCAGAAUCCAUCACCACUGCUGACCUCCCACUCCAUGUCUCCAAGUGCUCUGCUAUACCUGCCACCAGCAGCUGCCACCUCCAGACUUUGGAAGGUUAUAAUAAAACCUCUGUUCUACGAUCUGCCUUCUGCUUCAACAUCCUCACUCCCCACAAACAAUUCUAAUAAACAGCAAU
rnacentral:lncRNA from 1 species